GAUGAACGCUGGCGGCGUGCCUAAUACAUGCAAGUCGAGCGGAAAGGCCUCUUCGGAGGUACUCGAGCGGCGGACGGCUGAGUAACGCGUAGGAACGUACCCCGAAGUGAGGAAUAACUGCCCGAAAGGGUGGCUAAUGCCGCAUGUGAUCCACGGAUUAAAGUCUUCGGACGCUUUGGGAACGGCCUGCGUAUGAUUAGUUAGUUGGUGAGGUAAUGGCUCACCAAGACGAUGAUCAUUAGCUGGUCUGAGAGGAUGAUCAGCCAGACUGGGACUGAGAACGGCCCAGACUCCUACGGGUGGCAG
rnacentral:rRNA from 1 species